AUUGAUUUAAAUAGUUUUAUCUACCCAAAUCAACCGAAAAAAUCUAUUCCGGAGCAUAAGAUAUUGGCAGAACGACGGUUAAAGGUUCGCGCUAUAGCUGGGACAGUAGACUGUAAUCCGAAAGAGACGAAAAAUUGAUCAAGGGACCAAGGAAGUGUCGAAAUUAUGGAUUAUAAUCUAGGAAUCUGCUUCGAAGCAGAUGGAGACUGUCCUAUCGGCCGGAAAGAUGAUGACCACCGUUGUUUUUAUAAACGGAUCGCAAACAAAGUUUUUGUUAAGAAUCGUCUACAUUUGUGAUGUUGAUGAUUCGGUGCAACCGAAGUUAACAGUUUUUCUUGUUUAAUUCACCUUUACGGACUACCUGAAUUAUUAUGUUAUUGAAACGUAUUUUUUGGACGGCUGAUCGAGUUGGAAUGAACCAACAAUUUUCAUUGUUAAGUGCCAUAAAAAAGGAUAUCAGACCAAUCGUGCCAAGAACUGGAAACAAAAAUGUCUCAUUUGUGAGAAAGUUUGGAAAUAGCAAUAAUAAGAGAAAUUUAACCUAAAAUAUAUAGUAACACUGAUCAGUAACCCCUAAGUGUUUGCUUCCAUUCAUAACGCUUAAGUGAAAAUUCAAUAAGCUACGUAACAAAAGCUCCAAAAGCGAAGUACUCGAAAAGCAAAUAUAUACAUACAUAUGUAUAUGUAAGUAUAUAUAUACUGUUUUGUAUAUAAAUACGGGUAAGCGCGAGCUUUCAUCGCAUGCCUGCGGUAGCCGAAAAAUUCACGCAGACAGAUACACACACAUAUACAUAUUUGUAUAUAUAUGUGUGUAUCAUCAACUCUUGAUAAAUAUUUUCAUAUAAGUAUUAGUCAGUGCCCAGUAGGAAAAUUUAUAAAUAUAUGUUAAUUACAGAGAAUAGAGGUAUGAACUCAUUCUAAAUUGUUUCCUCAUCGAUUUGCCAUUUCCCUGCUCGCUAUCUUUGAGCGCUGCGUUUUUAGAUUAAUUAGAGACAAUAACAAGGUCGUCGGAUUUAUAAAAUAAGAAAGAUAUUAAUGUUGCUCGAAAGCAAGGAAGAACUAAAGUACUAUUUGCUCCGGAAAGAAGACUCUUUCCACAAAAGAAUGAGCUAAAAGCAAUCUAUGAGCUAAGAUAUAUAGAGACAAAAGAGCACCUGGAUAUUGUAAUUAAAUUCCCCGGUUAAAUGAUAUUUCAAAGAAAUGUAUUUUUCCGUAAGCCUUUUCCAACAUUCGCAAUGAUUCCUCACACGAAAUUUGGUUCGAAAUAGAAAAUUUGAGACAAAUUAUCUGUUCGAUAUUUUUAUAAAUUGAUGUAUCGACUUAAGCAGCUGCUGUUUCGUGUGCGGAAUCAUUGCGAAUGUUGGAAAAGGUUUACGGGGAUUCAGAUUUAUCAAAAACACAAGCACACGAGUGGUACAAAGUCUUCAAAGACGGUCGAACGAUCGUUGAAGACAUACCUCGUCCUUUUCAACUGGUCAAAAUAUCGAAAAAGUGAAGGAUUUGGUGCUUCAAAAUCGUCAGGCAGGUGUAAGAGAGAUGGCAUGAGAGCUCGACAUAUCACGCGAGUCGGUUCGAAAAAUUUUGGUGGAAGUUUUGUGUUUUUGUUUGAUUCGAGUAUCGUAAACAGCUCUCUUUGAACAUGCAUCAUCGCUCGAAUUCCGAUCCCACAUUUAAGAAGAGCAUUAUAACUGUCGAUGUAUACACAAACAAGUCAACAAUCAUCGGCAUAGAGAGAAAAAACGUGCCGAAACCGAAAAAACCACAUCAAAGCCACUCAAAAGUCAAGAGGGACAGACGGUCAAUAAGAAGUUCUAUUUGGACGAAUUGAGGCAUUUGCGUAACAACAUCCCUCGAAAACGGUUGAAAUUGUGAAGAACAUUUCAUGGGUUUUACACGAUAAUAAAGUACCAUCGCAUCGAGCCACGUUUGUGAACGAAUUUAAAACCAAAAAAUGCAAUGAAUACCAUUGAUCAACCACUGUAUUCAGGAGAUUUGGCGCCAUGUGAUUUUUCUCGUUCCCCAAACUGAAAUUGCUGCUCCGUGGAACCCGUUUUCAGCCGAUCGAAGAGAUAAAACAAAAUUUACUGAAGGAGCUGAAGGCCAUCUCAAAAAAUAUUAAUGAAAAUUGUUUCUAGAACUGGAAAAAUCGUUGGCAUAAUAGUAUUACAUCUGUUGGGGAAUAAUUUGAAGGCGAAAAGUAAAUAUUGAUGAAUAAUUAAA